rnacentral:rRNA from 1 species
CAAGUCGACGCGAAGUGGAGCAAUCCAUUAGUAGAGUGGCAAACGGGUGAAUAACGCGUGGGCGACCUGCCUUCGAGUGGGGGAUAACAUUCCGAAAGGGAUGCUAAUACCGCAUAACAUCCUUCGUUUAGAUACGAGGCGAUCAAAGCCGGGAGCAAUUCUGGCGCUUAAAGAGGGGCCCGCGUCCGAUUAGCUAGUUGGUGGGGUAACGGCCUACCAAGGCUCCGAUCGGUAUCCGGCCUGAGAGGGCGGACGGACACACUGGAACUGAGACACGGUCCAGACUCCUACGGGAGGCAGCAGUGGGGAAUUGUUCGCAAUGGGCGCAAGCCUGACGACGCAACGCCGCGUGGAGGAUGAAGACCUUCGGGUCGUAAACUCCUUUCGACCGAGAAGAAUGGCUCCCGACCUCAUACGUCGGGAGCAUGACGGUAUCGAGGGAAGAAGCCCCGGCUAACUCUGUGCCAGCAGCCGCGGUAAUACAGGGGGGGCAAGCGUUGUUCGGAAUUACUGGGCGUAAAGGGUUCGUAGGUGGCCAACUAAGUCAGACGUGAAAUCCCUCAGCUUAACUGGGGAACUGCGUCUGAUACUGGAUGGCUUGAGUGCAGGAGAGGAACGCGGAAUUCCAGGUGUAGCGGUGAAAUGCGUAGAUAUCUGGAGGAACACCGGUGGCGAAGGCGGCGUUCUGGACUGCAACUGACACUGAGGAACGAAAGCCA